rnacentral:rRNA from 1 species
AGUGAACGCUGGCGGUAGGCCUAACACAUGCAAGUCGAACGGCAGCACAGUAAGAGCUUGCUCUUACGGGUGGCGAGUGGCGGACGGGUGAGGAAUACAUCGGAAUCUACUUUUUCGUGGGGGAUAACGUAGGGAAACUUACGCUAAUACCGCAUACGACCUACGGUUGAAAGCAGGGGAUCUUCGGACCUUGCGCGAUUGAAUGAGCCGCUGUCGGAUUAGCUAGUUGGCGGGGUAAAGGCCCACCAAGGCGACGAUCCGUAGCUGGUCUGAGAGGAUGAUCAGCCACACUGGAACUGAGACACGGUCCAGACUCCUAAGGGAGGCAGCAGUGGGGAAUAUUGGACAAUGGGCGCAAGCCUGAUCCAGCCAUACCGCGUGGGUGAAGAAGGCCUUCGGGUUGUAAAGCCCUUUUGUUGGGAAAGAAAAGCAGCAGGUUAAUACCCCGCUGUUCUGACGGUACCCAAAGAAUAAGCACCGGCUAACUUCGUG